UCCGGUGUAGUCUAGUGGCUAGGAUACCUGGCUCUCACCCAGGAGUCCCGGGUUCGAUUCCCGGUACCGGAA